ensembl:lncRNA
UGUGUGUGUGUGUGUUUCCGUUACUGCGGUGGCGGUGGGCGGGGCUUUACAAUAACAACCCACAAUAACAACUACGGAGAAUUUAUUUAUUUAACCAAAAGAUGGAAGAAAACAACUCAGAUCACUUCUUCUGCCUUCACAGAGAAGAAAGAGAGAAAGAGAGGAAGAAAGACUGUAAUAUAUUUAAUAUAUUAAACAGAAUAGAUUUAUAAGAUAAUGUAAAGGGCAGAGUUUUACAGCCACAGUUUAAUCCUAAUGUGAAAGCAGCUCAUGUCUCUCAUAUAAAUAAUAAUGCAUUUUAUUUAUAUUUAAAUAAGCCCAGCUGUAUUUCAGCUCAAAAUACUUUGCAAUAAAGAGACAGAACUCACAUGAAUCUGCAUUUUAAAAUGUCCUUCAUUUCAAACCAGGGCACAUGUUAAACACAGAAACAAGUGGCUUCCAUGUAAAAUGUAAAAAUGAAGAAGCAUGUUUAAACCAACACAGGAUGUUCAGAUGAAUGUUAGUGAGUUAGUGUGGAGAACACAUCAGAUUUCUGAGCACUUGAAUUCUGCCCUGAAUGUGUACUGACAUGUUACACAACAAUAGAUUAAUCCAGUGUUUGUGUGGGGGAGCAGAAUUUAUGGAAUAUUAUUACUUGCAGUGACAUGUUUCCACCAGAGGGGUCUCCAAAUCCCUAAAAUUACAUUCCUUUCUUCAAACGAUUCUCAAAGUGCAGUUUAUAGAUGAUAGGCAUGUUUCAUGUGGAUAGCAGAUUAAAGCUACUAGGAUAAAUAUGUGAGUUUUUAUUUGUAAUUGUUUGAUAUAAAUGUAAAUAAAAGUGUUGUUUAAUGACCACUAAAGCCAAAGAUCGUGAGUUUGAUUCCUUCAAUGCCACAUCUGUGGAAAGGAGCCAAGAGAGCUAAACUGGCCGUACUCUCUGGGUGGGAGGGGCAUAUUCACUCUCUCCUGUUAAUCACAGUUACACUAGCUAAUCGUGGGCUUAGACACAUACACUUACAGAGUACUUUAUUAGGAACACUACACUAAUACUGGCAUGGGCCUCACUUUGCUCUCCAAACAGCCUCAGUUCUUCAUGGCAUGGAUUCCAAAAGGUGUUGGAAACAUUCCUUUGAGAUUCUGGUCCAUGUUGACAUGACUGCAUUACGCAGUUCCUGCACAUUUUUCAGAUGCAAUUUAAUUUCGUGAAUCUCUCGUUCUACCUCAUCCCAAAGGUGAUCUACAAGGCAGGUUGGGUCCAUGGGUUCAUGCUGUUGGUGCCUAAUUCUGACCGAACCAUCUGUGUCCCUCAGCAGAAAUGGAGAUCAGGCGACGUUUUUCCAGUCUUCAUCUGUCCAGUUUUGGUGAGUCUGUGCCCAGUGCAGCCUCAGCUUCCUGUUCUUUGCUGACAGAAGAGGAACCCCACAUGGUGUUCAGCUGUUGUAGCCCAUCCACCUCAUGGUUCGACGUGUUGUGCUUUCUGAGAUGCUUUUCUGCUCACCACAAUUGUACAGAGUGAUUAUCUGAGUUACAUAGACUUUCUGUCAGCUCCAACCAGUCCGGACAUUCUCCUCUGACCUCUCUCAUCAACAUGGUGUUUCCAUCCACAGAAAUCCCGCUCACUGAAUGUUGUUUUCUUUAUUGCACCAUUCUGAGUAACUCUAGAGACUGCUGUGUGUGAAAAUCACAGAAGAUCAGCAGUUAUAGAAAUACUUAAACAGCCCAUCUGGCACCAACAACCAUGCCAUACACCUAUCACAUAACAGCUAGCAACCAGGAGGGUGAAGGCUGACACAGGCUUCUUCUGAAAUACGUGCAAUCAACCACAACGUUUCUACUGCUGCUCAUGCUGCAUCACAGGGCUGCGUAACACACUCUGAGGAAAGCGCUACUGGUCUUCUUCCAAAUACGUGAGCUUACAGAUGUCCAUGAUUGGCGUGUGUUGCUGUGAUUGACAGGGAGAGACAGAACACCCAGCAGCACUGCCGGUUUUAUCGCUCUUGGCUCCUGAGCACGGAUGGCUGUGUCAUUCAGACUUGUGAUCUCCUGAGGACUUUUCUGUUGCUCCACUCGGGAGUCCUCAGUUUUCAGGAAUCUUAAAUGGAGUGUUUACAACAGUUACAGUAGACUUUAUGGAUAAACCAAAAAAACAUGGCACAGAACAUCACCACAAACGCAGUCAGCACCGCUAUCACCCUCAUUACCCAGUGUGGUACAGCACAGUCCCCUACAAAACACACACACACACACACACACACACACACACACACACACACACACACACACACACACACACAGACAGACAGACACAGAGAGAUGUGUAUUAAAAACAGAGCUGACUUUUCAUCAUGUGUAUCAUGCACAGUGUGUAUGAUAUGGUACAAAUCAUCUGUCACUCUUCCACAGUAUAAACGUGUAAUGUGGACUUUUGUGUCUUUCACUCUGCGUUUCAUUUCUUCUGUUAAAACUGUAUCUAAAGUAUCUAGUAGGGUUUAUUGAGAUUUGAGUUCCUCCUGCUGAUUAUUACUAACGUGUCUGAUAAAAACACAACUAACCUGAUCACUUCACAACCACCAGCUCUGUUAAAGCUCCACUAUAUCAUAUUAACACUCAGUAUAUCACACACACGGUGUGUUUCAUCAUGCAGUUCACUCCACACACAUCACACUGAGACGUACCUGUCACAGAGACGGCGUACACACGGAUGUCUUCAUUAUUCUCCGUGUCCCGGAUGGUGUAAAGUCCACUAUCACUGUGCGUCACGUCUCUCAGUGUGAGCUCUGGGUAUCUGAGUGAUGUUCUGUGUGUGUAUUCAGCUUUACACUGUAGUGAGCGUUGAGUCACGUUACAGAUCCGUUCACCAUCAGCUGAAUCACUGCUUGUAUAAAUCACCUCCACUGGCUCUGGUACGGUCAGAUCCAGGAUCAGAUCUUCACCAGGGUUCUUCUGAACUGCUGAGAACACGGCUGAGGAGAAAACACAUUCAGCUGUAUUUAUUCAGAGUCACAACUAAAGUUCAAAGGUCACGUCAGUGUUUGCGUGGGGAAAGUUGCUGGUAUUCAGAGUCGGUUACGCAGCUGCUCCAGUGGAGUUUCUGAGCUCUGAUGCUCAGAUGAUUAAAAUCACCUGCGUGUCGUUCACACUUCCAAACACUAAAACACUCACCUUUAAACCCCAAAAUAAUCAGGGAUAGAAAUUCUGGACUGAAGAAGGGAAGAAAAUGUUUUUCUUUGCUGUCAAAUGUAAUAUGUAAUUAAUGUAACAUAAAAGUGAGAGAAUUUUUGCAAAUGUAAAAGAAAAGUCUAAUAUGAUGAUAUAAAGUUAUUUUAAGUGUAGAAAAUUAAUUUAAAGUUCAUGCAUCAUUUUAUCCAUAAAAUAAUCCUAAAAAAAAAAUUAUCCGAGAUAAACAGUAUCUCUGAUUAAGAAUUUCACGUUCACCAUGGACAGUUCCCCCAGACCACCAGAGGGCACCCUCACUCAUAUUUAAAAAAAAAAAAAAAGUUCUUCCUAGUCCAUCCAUCCAUCUUCUACCGCUUACUCCUUUUCAGGUCACGGGAAGUUCUUCCUUUAUUCUUUCACUUCCUGUGUUGGUGCACACCUGAGAUGGUUCUGUAAUUAUUCACCCUGUGUAAGUUCUGUGUUUUCCCUCGUUAGUUGAGAAGCAUUAUAUUGUAGUUAUUACUAUAUGUUGUUGAUGUAUUUGCAGUGUGAGUAGUUUUUGUUUUCAUGUUGAAUGACCCUUGCCUCGCCCUGUCUUGCUGUGGUCUGCUGCUUUGUUUUAGUUGUUCUAGUUUUUUUUCUAGUCUUUUUCUGUCUUUGUUUGUUUGUUGGUUGUUUAUUCAUUAAAGACUUCCCCGCUGAGGAUGUCGCUCCGCCUCCCUGCUUGGCUUAGAUGUUGCUCUUCCUCUGUCCUAGAAUGACAUCCCAUAGUGUGUGUGUGUGUGUGUGUGUGUGUGUGUGUGUGUGUGUGUGUGUGUGUGUUUACAGGCAAAACAUAUUUUUACAAGAUGAAUUUCAGCGUGAUAUAUUGUGGUUCCAUCAAACUGUCAGACGGUGGCGCUGGACUUAACACUGCUCCUCACUCGAGCCGAUAUCACACAAGACACAUGCGCAUAAGUUCAAGUUCAGAAUCGAGUGUAUCUGAGACACGCCUCUGUUUUAGAUAAACUCCGCCCCUGCAUGCGUGACUCUCACCUGACUUCUGAACAGUGUUGAGUGUGUAGUUACGUCUGAGUUCUGAAUACUGAUGUGUGGAAUUUCAGGAUUAAAUCCUAACUGUGCUCUUAACUCUGAAUGUGACCCCAAUAAUUCAGACUGAAUGUUUUAUCAGCAGUAGAAGAGAUAAAGACACUUACUCUCAAUGCUGAGACGCCAUACAGCGUAGUCUACUGCCGCCACACUCACACGCGUACGUGUUCCUCAUACUGUAUUCAGCUGCAGUGAUGGUGAGAGAGAGAUCUCCCUUCAGGUACUGAUCAUGAGACAUUUCAUAUCCCUUCACCACUGAGCUGCAUGAUGUCUGAUCACACCGAGCGAAGACAACAUCUCGAUUACGUUGUAAGGUCCACUUGGCCUCACCAGGACAUUCAUGGUCACAUGGGAGAGUCACACGCUGAUGAAGCUUCGCCUGGACACGACAGUCACAGCUGCUACAGGAGCUGAAAGAGAGAAUAAACCCUUUAUGUCAAGGCCAAAACUAUGAAGAUGAGUUUAGAUUUAAAUUGAAGAAUAAAGUGAGAGCACUGCGCUCUUUUCCACCGUGUGGAUUAAUCUGACUGCUGCAGGUGUAAAAACUCAUACAGAGAAAAUUCAGGGCUGUGUCCCAAACCACGUAAAGUGCACUAAGAUUCCUAAACACCAAUCACACGCUGUAGUGACAUUUAAUGUGAAACUACAGUGACAGUUGAGUGAGAGUGAGAGUGUAGAGUGAGAGUGAGAAGUGAGAGUGAGAGUGUAGAGUGUGAGUGUGUAGUGAGAGUGUAGAGUGAGAGUGUACAGUGAGAGUGUAGAGUGUAGAGUGAGAGUUGAGAGUGAGAGUGUAGAUUGAGAGUGUAGAGAGUGAGCAGUGGUAGUAAAUGUUGUGAGAGAGUGAA